rnacentral:rRNA from 1 species
AUUGAACGCUGGCGGCAGGCCUAACACAUGCAAGUCGAACGAGUGGCGGACGGGUGAGUAAUGUCUGGGAAACUGCCUGAUGGAGGGGGAUAACUACUGGAAACGGUAUCUAAUACCGCCUACCAUCAGAGUUGCCCAGAUUGGACUAGGUUGUUGGUGGGGUAACGGCUCACCGAGGCCACGAUCCCUAGCUGGUCUAAGAGGAUGACCAGCGACACUGGAACUGGGGUAGGGUCCAGAGUACCAGGGUAGCCAACAGUGGGGAAUAGUGCACAAUGGGCGCGAGCCUGAUGCAGCCAUGCAGCGUGUAUGAAGAAGGCAUUGCGGUUGUAAAGUACGUGAGGCGAGGGGGAGUUACUCGCAGGAGAAGCACCGGCUAACUCCGUGCCAGCCGCCGCGGUAAUUC